rnacentral:lncRNA from 1 species
AGUUGUUAGAUAGCUAAUGUUUUAGAGUACCUUAAUAAUCAACAAAAUGUUAAUUUAGUGAUAUAAAACUCUAUUGAAUCUCUAAGAUUGUGGGUUUGAUUUCUAAAAGCAAACUUGUUGGGAGUGAUGGCCACAAACCGCCACAAACCGCCACAAAUCUUGAAGAUGUUAAUUUCUUCCCCAAAAAGGUGAGUUGAUAUAUUUGAUAGUACCAAAAAGUAGGCUAAUAACCUACUAGGUUUCUUGUCAUUUUAUAUUCAAUUAUAUAAUUCUUACAUUUCAAUUGUGAUCAUGAAAAAAAGGAAAAAACACACAAAUUUACGUUUCACACACACUUCUGCAACUAUCGGAAAUACUUGAUGAUAUGUGUAGAAGUCAUUUUCAUUUUCUUCUCUCUAUUUCUUGUUUAUUGCCGUCACUAAUGAUAAUCAUAAUUUAAUUGAAUACUUUAACAUAUAAAUAAUUCGCGACUAAAAUCAUGUUUAUUUUCUAGAGUAUAUGGGCUUUGAUGGUGUUGUGUUACAGAUGGGCUUUGAUGGUGUUGUGAUAGAUGGGCUUUGAUGGUGCUGUGAUAGAUGGGCUUUGAUGGUGUUGUGUGACAGAUGGGCUUUGAUGGUGCUGUGUGAUAGAUGGGCUUUGAUGGUGUUGUGUGACAGAUGGGCUUUGAUGGUGCUGUGUGAUAGAUGGGCUUUGAUGGUGUUGUGUGACAGAUGGGCUUUGAUGGUGUUGUGUGAUAGAUGGGCUUUGAUGGUGUUGUGUUACAGAUGGGCUUUGAUGGUGUAGAGUGACAGAUGGGCUUUGAUGGUGUUGUGUGAUAGAUGGGCUUUCAAUAAACUAUUAUUAUGUUAUCAGUCCUCUAAUACCUUGGUCUUCUUUGGCAACAAGAGUUUGUUGGUUGGGCUUUACCGUUUAUAUGCAAGCAUAUGAGAUAAAUAUAUAAAGAUGUCAAUUCACAAACUAUGAACAAGGUGGGUUAAUAAAAUAUAUAAAGA